GGUACAGAUAGCUGUACAGAUAGAUGUACAGGUUGUGGUAGUGUUAAAAAGGAACUAAAAGGCAGAGUGUAGAUGCAGGAAAGUUCUGACUCUUCAGCCUGUAAAACAGACGACUCCUAGUGAAAAUAGCCUGUAAAGCAGUAAAAGUUGGUUACAAACUUAUUGUACCUGAGUCAAAUUACUAUAAUCAGAAUCAACAAUGUUGAAGAUCACUUCAAUUUUCUGUCUUGAAGAGAAAUGCAUUCUAAAAAGUCUGAAGAUAAUCAAUGUGAAUUCAAGCCAGCAGGUAUAAAGCGGUCUCAAGGCCAGGGUUUGGUCCAAGAUUACCACAAACAAAACACAAAUCAUCUCUGGCAAACUUACCACGAAAAUCACCACUAGCAAGUAUGCCUAUGACUAUUAAAGCAAAUAUAUACAUAUUUGAAUAUAUUGCAAAAUACUAUCAGCAAUGAAUAAUAAAACAUCAGGCAUUAUUAUAACAACAGCCAAUAACAGAGAUUUGAGAAGAGGGCCAAAAAGAUGAUCAGAGGACUGGAGCACCUCUCCUGUGAAGACGGGUUGAGAGAGCUGAAGUUGUUCAGCCUGGAGACAAGAAGUCUCUGGGCACACUUUACAGCAGCCUUCCAGUACCUAAAGGAGGCUUACAAGAAAGCUGGAGAGGGACUUUUUACAAGGACAUGCAGUGAUAUGACAAGGGUUGAUGGCUGUAAACUGAAAGAGGGUAGAUUUAUAUUAGAAAUAAGGAAUAAAUUCUUCACUCUGAGGGUGGUGAGGCACUAGAACAGGCUGCCCAGAGAAGUUAUGGAUGCCCCAUCCCUGGAAGUGUUCAAGGCUGGGUUGGAUGGGGCUUUGAGCAACCUGGUUUAGUGGAAGGUGUCCAUGGCAGGAGAGUUGGAACUACUUGUUCUUAAAGGUACUUUCCAACCCAAACCAUUCUAUG